AUUUGGCUGUGCCAAAAUGGUCCUGGGAACAGAACCCAGAUGUGAACCCAGGCUGAAUUUCUGGGCAAGGGCUGCUCCACAACCAAAUCCUGCCCCUGGCUUGGCAAGACGUGGCUUGUGCUGAGAGGAACAUACCUUUGGGAUUGUCACGUGUGCUCCUGGUGUGUCACAACAGCCACAGCUGGGCCCUGCUGAGGGGAAAAUGAGCUAGAAUUGUGCUGGUUCCUAAAGAUCCAUCUAGAAACAGAACUUCUCCAUCCUUCUGGAUUAUUGUCUCACAUUUAUCCACUGGAAUUAAGACCUAUGCGUGGGAAAAGACAUCCAGGAGAGUGUUUGGAUGUUAUUUAGCACAGGGAGGCCGCAUUUCUGAACUGGUAGGGGCUGAUCCCAGGGCUCAGAGUGUCAAAUCCCCUCAGGUUUCCAGGUAAAAGUGUGGAUGCACUGCCUCUACCUGAGGAGCUUUGCAGUGCUGCUUUCCCAUCUCGGAUGAAGCAGGACGAGCACGGGAGCUGGAAGGACUUGAAGCCGCAGAGAGGACGUGGAAUUCUGUUGGCUGCUUGCAAGGAAAGGAAGGAAAACAUUCUCCACUCAGUUCCUCACACCUUCUGAAAAGGAUGAUGAAUGGGCUGGUUCUGCCUAAGGGAGUGUGUUCAAGCGCAAGAUGGAAGAGGCUGACAGUGUGCUACGAGGAGGUCAAAGCUGGGAAUCCACAGAUGGAGGGUGCAAAACAUAGCCAAAACCCCAGCAAGUUUCUGGCUCACAAUGGAUUGUGAAUAGAAGGAAUAAACAAUAAAGAGAAUCCUUAAAAACCCUCCA
rnacentral:lncRNA from 1 species